CCUACGGGAGGCAGCAGUGGGGAAUAUUGCACAAUGGGGGAAACCCUGAUGCAGCGACGCCGCGUGAGUGAAGAAGUAUCUCGGUACGUAAAGCUCUAUCAGCAGGGAAGAAAAUGACGGUACCUGACUAAGAAGACACGGCUAACUACGUGCCAGCAGCAGCGGUAAUACGUCGGGGGCAAGCGUUAUCCGGAUUUACUGGGUGUAAAGGGAGCGUAGACGGCAGCACAAGUCUGGAGUGAAAUCCCGGGGCUUAACCCCGGAACUGCUUUGGAAACUGUGCGUCUGGAGUGCAGGAGGGGUAAGCGGAAUUCCUAGUGUAGCGGUGAAAUGCGUAGAUAUUAGGAGGAACACCGGUGGCGAAGGCGGCUUACUGGACUGUAACUGACGUUGAGGCUCGAAAGCGUGGGGAGCAAACAGGAUUAGAUACCCCUGUAGUC
rnacentral:rRNA from 1 species